rnacentral:lncRNA from 1 species
UCAGGAAUAGAAAACCAAAACUGUAUGUUCUCAGUUAUAAGUGGGAGCUAAGCUAUGGGUAUGCAAAGGCAUACACACUGGAAUAAUGGACUUUGGAGACUGAGAAGGGGUAGGGUGGAAGGGGAGUAAGGGAUUAAAAAAACUACGUAUUCAGUACAAUGUACACUACUCGAAUGAUGGGUUUACUAAAAUCUCAGACUUCAACACUAUACAAUUUAUCUAUGUAAUCAACAAUGACUUGUACACCAAAAUAUAUUUAAAUAAAAAAAUUAAAAAAAAAAACAUAGUCUGUGAAAUAAUGUGACUUAUGGGGAACACCUGCUUUCUUUCUAGUGGUCUGUUUUGGUAACUGCAAUCAACCAUGCAGGCACUGUGUGCCUAUGUGACCAAACCCCACUAAAAAAACUUGAAUCUUAGGCUCAAAUGAGCUCUCAGGUAGACCACACUUCACAUGUGUUCCUAUAAAUUGUAGAUAGAGGAAUUAAGUGAAUCCUGUACAAUUCCACUGGAAAAGGACUCUUGGAAGCUUGCACCUGCCUGGUUUCCUCCAGACUGUGCCACAUGUGCCUAUUCCCUGUGCUGAUACUGCCUUGCAUCUUUUUGCUGUAAUAAGCUAUAACCAUGAAUAUAAUGACUUCUGGGUACUAUGAGUCCUAGAGUUGGUCUUGGGGAUCACCAAAACAGGUACAACAGAAAAUAAUCUAAGUAACAUAAAAGAAGGCAGUAAUAGAAAUACAAGAUAUAUAGAAAACAGCAAAAUGGCAGAUGUAAAUCCUACCUAGGCAGUAAUUAUAUUAAAUAUAAAUGGAAGAAUAACAGCAGAUUUAUCAUCAAAGAAAUCCAACAAAGACAGUGAAGAAACAUUUUUAAAGUACUAAAAGAAAAAUGCUGCCAACCUAGGAUUCUAUAACAGUGAAAUGUCUUUCAAAAGUAUAGGUGAACUUUUGCAACUUUUCAGACACACAAAAGCUGAAAUAAUUCAUUACUGGGAGAUGUGCACUACAAGAAAUAGGAAGUCCUUCAGGUAUAAGAAAAAUAAUACCUAAUGGAAAUCUAAAUCUACACAAACAGAAAACACCAAAAGUGGUAAAUAUGUAGGUAAAUAAGAAAGACAUUUUGAGAUCUAGCAAGAUGGCUGAAUAGGAACAGCUCUGGUCUGCAGCUCCCAGCCAGUCCAACACAGGUGGGUGAUUUCUGCAUUUCCAACUGAGGUAUCCACUUCAUCUCAUUGGGACUGUUCAGACAGUGGGUGCAGCCCAUGGGGGGCAAGCAGAAACAGUGUGGAGUGUUGCCUCACCCAUGAAGUGCAAGGGGUCAGGAACCUUCCCUCAAGGGAAGCUGUGAGGUAUUGUGCUAUCUGGCCCAAAUACUACACUUUUCCCACGGUUUCUGCAACCCACAAACAAGGAGAUUCCCUCGUGUGCCCACACCACCAGGGCCCUGGGUUUCAAGCACAAAGCUGGACAGCUGUUUGGGCAGACACCGAGCUAGCUGCAGGAGUUUUCUUGUAUACCCCAGUGGCACCUGGAACCCCAGCGAGACAGAACCAUUCACUCCCCUGGAAAGGGGGCUGAAGCCAGGGAGGCAAGUGGUCUUGCUUAGUGGGUCCCACCCCCAUGGAGCCCAGCAAGCUAAAACCCACAGACUUGAAAUUGUCACUGCCAGCACAGCAAUCUGAACUCAACCUGGAACGCUUGAGCUUGGUGAGGGGAGGGGCGUUUAUCAUUACUGAGGCUUGAAUAGGCUGUUUUCCCUCACAGUGUAAACGAAGCUGCCAGGAAGUUCGGAAUUGGUGGAAGCCACCACAGCACGGCAAAACCACUGCGGCCAGACUGCCUCUCUAGAUUCCUCCUAACUGGGCAGAGCAUGCCUAAAAGAAAGGCAGCAGCCCCAGUCAGGGGCUUAUAGAUAAAAUUCCCAUCUCCCUGGGACAGAACACCUGAGGGAAGGAGCAGCUGUUGGCACACCUUCGGCAGACAAAAUGUUCCUGCUUGCCAGCUCUGAAGAGAACAGCAGAUCUCCCAGCACAGUGCUUGAGCUCUGCUAAGGGAUAGACUGCCCCUCAAGUGGGCCCCUGACCCCCAUGCCUCCUGACUGGGAGAUAACUCCCAAAAGGGGUCUACAGACACCUCACACAGGAGCACUCUGACUGGCAUCUGGCAGAUGCCCCAGUGGGACAAAGCUUCCAGAAAAAAAAAGGAGGCAACAAUCUUUGCUGUUCUGCAGGCUCUGCUGGUGACACACAGGAAAACAGGGUCUGGAGUGGAUGUCCAGCAAACUGCAGCAGACCUACAGAAGAGGGACCUGACUGUUAGAAGGAAAACUAACAAACAGAAAGGGAUAGCAUCAACAUAAACAAAAAGGACAACCAUGCAAAAACCUCAUCCGAAGGUCAUCAGUAUCAAAGAUCAAAGGUAAAUAAAUGGAACAAGAUGAGAAAAAAACAGCAUGGGGGGUGGAGCCAAGAUGGCAAAAUAGGAACAGCUCCAGUCUAGAGCUCCCAGAGUGAGCGACAUAGAAGAUGGGUGAUUUCUGCAUUUCCAACUGAGGUACUGGGCUCAUCUCACAGGGGAGUGUUGGAAAGUGGGUGCAGGACAGUGGGUGCAGCGCACCGUGUGUGAGCCGAAGCAGGGCGAGGCAUCGCUUCAACCGGGAAACGCAAAGGGUCAGGGAAAUCCCUUUCCUAGUCAAAGAAAGGGGUGACAGAUGGCACCUGGAAAAUCGGGUCACUCCCACCCAAUACUGCACUUUUCCAAUGGUCUUAGCAAACAGCACACCAGGAGAUUAUAUCCCUCGCAUGGCUCAGACGGUCUUAUGCGCACAAAGCCUUGCUCACUGCUAGCACAGCAGUCUGAGAUCAAACUGCAAGGUGGCAGCGAGGGAGGGGUGCGCGCCAUUGCGGAGGCUUCAGUGGGUAAACAAAGCAGCUGGGAAGCUCGAACUGGGUGGAGCCCACCACAGCUCAAGGAGGCCUGCCUGCCUCUGUAGACUCCACCUCUAGGAGAAGGGAAUAGUGAAACAAAAGGCAGCAGAAUCCUCUGCAGACUUAAAUGUCCCUGUCUGACAGCUUUGAAGAGAGUAGUGGUUCUCCCAGCAUGCAGCUGGAGAUCUGAGAACGGACAGACUGCCUCCUCAAGAGGGUCCCUGACCCCCAAGUAGCCUAACUAGGAGGCACCCUCCAGUAGGGGCAGACUGACAUCUCACAGGGCCGGGUAUUCCUCUGAGACAAAACUUCCAGAGGAACGAUCAGGCAGCAACAUUUCCUGCCCACCAGUAUCUGCUGUUCUGCAGCCUCCACUCCUGAUACCCAGGCAAACAGGGUCUGGAGGGGACCUCCAGCAAACUCCAACAGACCUGCAGCUGAGGG